rnacentral:ribozyme from 1 species
UGCCCAGCAACUCCUAUCCCUACCUCCUCGCGGUAGUGGCCGGGGUACGAAUAACCUUAGGGAAGAUCGGGUAACCAACCCCCGGUGGGAACUUUGGUCGUAUGCUGACAGGGAAGG